GGGAGCUUGCUCCCCAUGAGAGUGGCGCACGGGUGCGUAACACGUAUGUAACCUACCUAURUCAGGGGGAUAGCCUCUCGAAAGAGAGAUUAAGCCCGCAUAAAAUCAGAUUGUGGCAUCACAGACUGAUCAAAUAUUUAUAGGAMAARGAUGGGCAUGCGGAACAUUAGCUAGUUGGCGGGGUAACGGCUCACCAAGGCUACGAUGUUUAGGGGAUCUGAGAGGAUGACCCCCCACACUGGUACUGAGACACGGACCAGACUCCUACGGGAGGCAGCAGUAAGGAAUAUUGGUCAAUGGACGGAAGUCUGAACCAGCCAUGCCGCGUGCAGGAAGACGGCCCUACGGGUUGUAAACUGCUUUUGUACGGGAAUAAACCC
rnacentral:rRNA from 1 species